rnacentral:tRNA from 1 species
GCCUGUUUAGCUCAGUUGGUAGAGCAACUGAUUUGUAAUCAGUAGGUCGGGAGUUCGAGUCUCUCAACAGGCACCA